UUUUAUCAUGAAGAGUUUGAUCCUGGCUCAGGAUGAACGCUAGCGACAGGCUUAACACAUGCAAGUCGAGGGGCAGCGGGGAGUGGC
rnacentral:rRNA from 1 species